rnacentral:rRNA from 1 species
CUACGCGUCGCUCCAGUGGGGAAUAUUGGGCAAUGGGCGCAAGCCUGACCCAGCAACGCCGCGUGAGGGAAGAAUGUCUUCGGAUUGUAAACCUCUGUCCUUGGGGACGAAAAAAAUGACGGUACCCAAGGAGGAAGCUCCGGCUAACUACGUGCCAGCAGCCGCGGUAAUACGUAGGGAGCAAGCGUUGUCCGGAAUUAUUGGGCGUAAAGGGUGCGUAGGCGGCAAUACAAGUCAGAUGUGAAAUCCCCGGGCUUAACUCGGGUAUUGCAUUUGAAACUGUAUAGCUUGAGUAAAGAAGAGGUAAGUGGAAUUCCUAGUGUAGCGGUGGAAUGCGUAGAUAUUAGGAGGAACACCAGUGGCGAAGGCGACUUACUGGUCUUUUACUGACGCUGAGGCACGAAAGCGUGGGGAGCAAACAGGAUUAGAUACCCCAGUAGUC